UCAAAGCUUUGUUCCCACAAGUGCUCAGAAAUACAGACCAGAACACACUCCUGACUUAACUGCCUUUUUCCCCUUGUUCAUGAAAGCAUUCACAAAGGACAGGACACUCCUGAUGUGUCCAAGCGAGAACAAAUCUAUCACUCACUUUUCUUCCAGCUUCUUUCAAUUCGACAGAGAAGUCUGAAUCAAAGGCAACACUUCCACAGCAAUAAUGAAGAAACCAGAAGUCAAGUAGCAGAGAAUGAUCAAAUCAUACGCUUUCACCAUUCCUUCUGUGUCUCAACACUUUUCCCCAGGGCACCCUCGUAAUUGUGCUACAGCACCGUUUAUUAUUUACAAUUGCCUUAUUUUCUUCUGAGAUCAGGCUUUGUUUAAAAGUCCAUUCAAGAUUAGCUGUACUUCAACUAAGGGUCACUUGAAGUUUCUAUGUAAUCAGCUACAUGUCAAAUGUCGUUAUGUUACAAGCCCCCAAACCAGCACAUAGAGGAAAUAUAUUCACCUAAAUUCAAAGAAGCUGCAAUAUCUCUUAACAGAACCUUAACAUCUACAAGGAUGUGUCAAAGAAACGACAGGCACACAGUUUACUCUGCUGUCUGGUACGUGGCACUCGUCUCUGGC
rnacentral:lncRNA from 1 species